rnacentral:rRNA from 1 species
AGUUCGAUCAUGGCUCAGAUUGAACGCUGGCGGGAUGCUUUACAUGCAAGUCGAACGGCAGCACGGACUUCGGUCUGGUGGCGAGUGGCGAACGGGUGAGUAAUGUAUCGGAACGUGCCCUGAAAAUGGCGGGGGAUAACUACGCGGCGUAGCUAAUACCGCAUGCGCCCUUCGGAAAGCGGGGGGACCUUCCGGGCCUCGCACUAUUAGAGCGGCCGAUAUCGGAUUGGCUAGUUGGUGGGGAGAUGCGCUGGCUCACCAAGGCGACGAUCCGUAGCUGGACAGAGGACGACCAGCCCACUGGGACUGAGACACGGCCCAGACUCCUACGGAGACCUUGAUGAAAUUUUGGACAAUGGGGGAAACCCUGAUCCAGCCAUCCCGCGUGUGCGAUGAAGGCCUUCGGGUUGUAAAGCACUUUUGGCAGGAAAGAAGCAGCGCAGGAUGGCACACCCCGUGCAACUGACGAUACCUGCAGAAUAAGCACCGGCUAACUACACGUGCCAGCAGCCGCGGUAAUACGUAAGUGCAAGCGUUAAUCGGAAUUACUGGGCGUAAAGCGUGCGCAGGCGGUUCGGAAAGAAGAUGUGAAAUCCGGAAACACUUUGGAACUGCAUUUUUAACUACCGAGCUAGAGUGUGUCAGAGGGAGGUGGAAUUCCGCGUGUAGCAGUGAAAUGCGUAGAUAUGCGGAGGAACACACCGAUGGCGAAGGCAACCUCCUGGGAUAACACUGACGCUCAUGCACGAAAGCAGUAAGGGAGCAGCUGGGGAUUAGAUACCUGGUGAUCCACGCCUAAACGAUGUCAACUAGCUGUUGGGGCCUUCGGGCCUUGGUAGCUGCGGCUAACGCGUGAGAUUGACCGCCUGGGGGAUGCGGUCGCAAGAUUAAAACUCAAAGGAAUUGACGGGGACCCGCACAAGAAGCGGUGGAUGAUGUGGAUUGAAGAUUCGAUGCAACGCGAAAAACCUUACCUACGCCGGCAUGUCUGGAAUCCCGAAGGGCCCGGGAGUGCUCGCAAGAGAACCGGAACACAGGUGCUGCAUGGCUGUCGUCAGCUCGUGUCGUGAGAUGUUGGGUUAAGUCCGCAACGAGCGCAACCCUUGUCAUUAGUUGCUACGAAAGGGCACUCUAGCCUGGGACUGCCGGUGACAAACCGGAGGAAGGUGGGGAUGACGUCAGUCCUCAUGGCCCUUAUGGGUAGGGCUUCACACGUCAUACGUGGUCGGGACAGAGGGUCGCCAACCGCUGAGGCCAAUCCCAGAAACCCGACCAGCCAGUCCGGAUCGCAGUCUGCAACUCGACUGCGUGAAGUCGGAAUCGCUAGUAAUCGCGGAUCAGCAUGUCACGGUGAAUACACGUUCGGGUCUUGUACACACCGCCCGUCACACCAUGGGAGUGGGUUUUACCAGAAGUAGUUAGCCUAACCGUAAGGAGGCGAUUACCACAUUAGAGAUUCAUGACUGGGAUGAUCGUAACAAAAUUG